rnacentral:tRNA from 2 species
GGGGCCGUCGUCUAGCCUGGUCUAGGAUGCCAGCCUGGGGCGCUGGCGGUCGUGGGUUCAAAUCCCACCGGCCCCA